AACGCAAGACUCACUAUCACUUUUCACCAAGAAUCUCCCAAAGAGCAGGGGAGCCUCCAUUUCAACCUGCCAAUGUUUUCAAGUUUCAAUUCAUUCAAUACACUACAACCGAAAAGUGAGAGAAAUCACUCAUUCACUCUCUGCCAGAAACAUUAAGUUCAGUCAUUCCAGUUCUUUUAACUCAACAUCACAGCAGCCAACCAAGCCCAAAACAUUCGCAAGGUAUUCAUUAUUUCAGUUUAUUCAAGUUCCGGCUAUAUGCAGCAUAUGCCCAGUUUUAGAAAUGCAUAGUAUGAGAGGAGAAGCAUGACCAUAUUAUCGACAUAGAACUCACUAGCAAACCAACAGAUUAUAUGAACUCAUUUUUAUGAAAAACAUAGACUAUAGAAUGAGAAUUUCCUUCACGAUCUAGUGAAACCGAACCUAGUAUUUUGGGGAAAGAUAGGAGUAGUAUUUGUUGUACCUGAUUUCAUUAAAUCGGGGAGGGAUACCAGAUGACGUCAACGCUGACCGAUGAAGAGGAGAUGGAGGUCGUCAGCUGAGCAGAAGCGACAUCGCCUGAACCAAGAGAGAGAGAGAGGCUUGAGCUGGUUCUUGAGCAGAUGACAGAUUUCAGCGGCAUCUCCUGCUGCCUGAUGGAGCUCAACGGACAGAGAAGGAAGAGCCGAACGCCGGAGAAGCAGCGGCGAAGUACCCUCGCCGAUUCUGGACAGCAGCGGCGGCGGCACCCGCCUCGGCUGAGGUCGGAUCGAGAGGUGAAGGGGACGGCGACGCGGUAGCCGUGGAAGACCGGCGGCGGCGCUCCCAGACGACGUCCGCUGACCACCGGACGAGCAGCAGCAACUCCAGUCGGCGACGACUCCAGGCGAAGCAGCAGCAGUCGGCGGCGAUUUCAGACGGGGACGCGGAGCAGCGGUGACCUGGUAAUUGAAAGUUAGAGCUCGAUCUGGGUUCCGCGGUCGGAUUUGAGAUGAAGGUCGGAGUUUGAAACCUCAGGGAAGAGUUAGGGCUCGACGUCGGAGGGGGAUUUGAGAACCGGAGUUGGACGGCGCCGCUCCCAGCCGACGAUGCUCGCCGGAUUCCGAACGAAGGAGUAGCAGCGGUGUUCCAGAUUUUAGGGCUCGAUUUUGGGGCUCUGCGGGGAGGAGAGAGAACGGCGCCGGGGUUAGACUCGUCGCCGGUCGAAGCCAACCGAAGCAGAUGACAGCUGAACGCCCGGAGGAGGCGCAGCCUGCCAGAUUUAGCCGGAGAAGGUGAAGCCGAUCAGAGUUUUGAGGAUGCCGAGCGUAAGCUUUGAGGAAGAGUGAUGAGCGGCUCCUUGAGUUGGGAUUAGAGAGAGACAGCAGCAGAAGCUCGGCCGGCGCGGCUUCGCCGGAGAGGAAAAGAGAAUUUGAGAAGAGAAGAAAAAGAGGGCAGCGGCGAGUUUGAGAAGAGAGAAAAAUGAAGGACCGAGAAUUUGAGAAGAGAAGAAAAAGAGAUGGGCUUGAUUUGGGCUCUUUCCUUUUAAAUUUUUGGGCUUGUCAUUUUAUUUGGUUUGGGCCAUUGCAUUUAUUUACUUUGGGCCUCUUUUAUUAAUUUAAUUGGGCUGCUUCUUAUUUUCUUGAUGGGCCGAUAUUUAGGCUGAGUUUAUUAAAGAAUGAGCUGAAUUUAUUUCUUUUAAGUGAACUGAAUUCAUAGGCUCCUCCCUAUUCAUUUUCAGUUGGGCCGACUUUAUAAAGAAUGAGCUAGAGAUAUUUUAUUGUGAGCCGAAUUAUUUUAA